AGAUAUAGAGGACUGUGAAGCUUUGCUUGAACUUUGAGAAUUAAGAUAUUUACCAAGGAGUGGCAGGAGUGAGUAAGGAGGACUGGAGAAGAUAGAUAAAGAAUAUGGAGUUUUGUAUCAGGAGGAGGAAAUCGGUGCCUUGGAAACAGCUUGGUGUCCUCCUGGGCAAAGUACAAGGGAUAGCGUUUGGAGGAACGAUCCAGAGGACUGCAAUAUAUAUUGGUGGAGAUCAGGAGCCAGGCUUGCUAUUCUGGACCUCUAAGCACUACAGCGGAGGACUCUGGGCAGUCCAGUGACUGGGCACCCAAAGUGAAUGCUCAAAGCUGGUGAAGGUGUCCCAGGAACUCAUGGAGGUGACGAGGAGGUGGAACAGGCCAAGAAAGAGCUUGAUGUCCAUUCAUUCUACUCAUGGAAGAAUCACUCCAC